rnacentral:rRNA from 1 species
UACGGGGGGGGCAAGCGUUGGUCGGAAUUACUGGGCGUAAAGGGCUCGUAGGUGGCCAACUAAGUCAGACGUGAAAUCCCUCGGCUUAACCGGGGAACUGCGUCUGAUACUGGAUGGCUUGAGGUUGGGAGAGGGAUGCGGAAUUCCAGGUGUAGCGGUGAAAUGCGUAGAUAUCUGGAGGAACACCGGUGGCGAAGGCGGCAUCCUGGACCAAUUCUGACGCUGAGGAGCGAAAGCCAGGGGAGCAAACGGG